rnacentral:sRNA from 1 species
GUUUGGAGCAUGCAUGGAGCCAAGCCAAAAGGGCCAAGCUAGGGGGGCCAUCUAUAUCACUGGAAGAGCAGGAAUUUGGUUAGUUCAAGUCCCAAAUGAUGAUUGGAUCUAAAAAGAAAGACAUCUAUAUAUGUCUCAUGAUUGAGCUGAACUGGCCUCAACUUAGGUUCACAACUUCAGCUACGAAGGUUGCAUGAGAAAAUUCGAUGAUAAAGACAAGGGAAUGCUAUCUUCUGAUGAGAAAGGCGACAGGAUACAUAAUAGUGCAAGUUUAAAGCAAUGAAGGGUGCAACCUCAAUGGUGAUGCAAAAAGAUCGGCAUGGUGUAUUGCAUCAUUAUUCAUUCAGGGGCGGAAUCGGGGUCAAGAGGAUCCCCUUUCACAGAUUCUGCUAUUAUUGGAACCACAUCAGAACUCCAAUUCGACUGUCAUGCUGUAAAAUGCAGAUAGUGUACAGCUCUUCCAUUCUGAAGGUCUCAUAGGCAUUUCAUCAGCCACUCCUACCUCUGAAGAAAUAAACAGGGGAUCUGCGGAGAAUCACCAAGAAAUGCUUUUUGAUGAUUGUCUCCACCAUCUUCAAGCCUUUAUUUUGUGAAAUUGUAAAUGGAUGUGAUGUAAUGCCAAUAUUGGAUGAUGAAUCGAUGUCCUGUUGGUCUACUGUCACCCUGCUGAGUCCCCCCACCUUACUGUGCUGGUGAUAAUGAAAGUGGCAGUGGCAGUUGCCUUUUGACUUGUCAAUGUUGAAUCCAUUUCAUUUCAUCUCAAGCAAACUCAAUCCAAUUGAAGCUUAAUUAGGCUCAUCGAUCUCACUGGUUGCUGCAAUAUCUAAUAGUGUACACUCAGCUUUUUUGACCUUUCAUUAUUUCCAGACCUUCGAACAUACAUUUUGUUUUGAAUCAGUUGUUUUGUUUAUGGAAUUAUGAAUUUAAAUUUU